rnacentral:tRNA from 1 species
GGCGGAGUGGCCGAGUGGUUAGGCACCGGAUUGCAAAUCCGUUAACGCCGGUUCAAUUCCGGUCUCCGCCU